rnacentral:lncRNA from 10 species
GCAGUUUGAUCUCAGACUGCUGUGCUAGCAAUCAGCGAGACUCCAUGGGCGUAGGACCCUCGGAGCCAGGUGCGGGAUGUAAUCUCGUGGUGCGCCGUUUUUUAAGCCCGUCGGAAAAGCGCAAUAUUCGGGUGGGAGUGACCCGAUUUUCCAGGUGAUCUGCCUGCCUCGGCCUCCCAAAGUGCUAGGAUUAUAGGCAUGAGCCACAGCAUGGGGCCCAGUUUCAAUCUUUUACCAAUGAAAACCUGAACACAAAACAAUAAUUCUUAACCAAUCAUGAUGAAACACAGUAACUUUUUUUUUUAAUAAAAGGAAGAAGAAAGUGUUGAAAAUUGACAUCUAUGUUUACAUAUCACAGCAACACAAAGUGCCAGCAAAAAAAAAAAAAGUGGAAAAAUGAAAGUAUCUUGGCCCCAUGAGUUUUG